GAUGAACGCUGGCGGCGUGCCUAAUACAUGCAAGUCGAGCGAACAGACGAGGAGCUUGCUCCUCUGACGUUAGCGGCGGACGGGUGAGUAACACGUGGAUAACCUACCUAUAAGACUGGGAUAACUUCGGGAAACCGGAGCUAUUACCGGAUUAUCUAUUGAACCGCAUGGUUCAAUAGUGAAAGACGGUUUUGCUGUCACUUAUAGAUGGAUCCGCGCCGCAUUAGCUAGUUGGUAAGGGAACGGCUUACCAAGGCAACGAUGCGUAGCCGACCUGAGAGGGUGAGCGGCCACACUGGAACUGAGACACGGUCCAGACUCCUACGGGAGGCAGCAGUAGGGAAGCUUCCGCAAUGGGCGAAAGCCUGACGGAGCAACGCCGCGUGAGUGAUGAAGAUCUUCGGAUCGUAAAACUCUGUUAUUAGGGAAGAACAAAUGUGUAAGUAACUAUGCACGUCUUGACGGUACCUAAGCAGAAAGCCACGGCUAACUACGUG
rnacentral:rRNA from 1 species